CAAUCCGGGUGUGAGACACACCUCUCCUAGGCCUAUAUAAGCAGCACCAGUUCUGGGCUCGGGGUCUCUUCGUCUCUGCAAUCAAGCUCUCCCAAUAAACGUGUGCAGAAGGAUCCUGUUGCAGCGUCGUUACUGCUGGCCAGUCCGGGCCUGCAAGACCUAGCACCAUAAAAAUGCUGGAUUGAGAACCGCUGGCUUGGACCUAUCCUCACCUGCACGAAACACAAAUGUAUGUGCUUACUGAGAGAGGCCUGGGCACAGGGACCCUCUUGUCAUGGCCUCUUUCAGGGGAUGGCAAUGUUCCAGCUGCUACCUGGUAACUAAACCCAGGAAAAGUCCCUUAGCAGCCAUCCCAGUUCCCGUGGAAAAACUGGAGGGGAUGCUGAGCAGCUAUGAAGCUGUGGAGACCAGGGCUCACCAUCCAGCUGGUGAAACAACCGUCUCUAACGUGCAGGAGGAAGAUAAAACCUUCUGCUUUGCUGCAUGCACGUAGAGCAUAUGGCUGAAACAGAUCGAGUCCCUGGCAGAGAGAACCCGUAUGAUCUCGGCUGGCUUUUGAAAGCUGCUCUCCAGCAAGGCACUCUGACGCCACAGGGUCAGUGUCCUCCCAGGCACAGGCCCUUGUGUGAAGCAGGUGGCCCGAAAGCACUAGAAGCUGAAAAUCACAGCGACAAGGUGUCAUUUCCGGAGACCAGGCUGGCCUCGAACUCACAGAGAUCUGCCUGCCUCUGCCUCCCAAGUGCUGGGACUAAAGGUGUGUGCUACAGUGCUUUUACCUCAAUUUACCAUGAAAGUUGGAAAUCCUAACGAGAAGUCUCUUCAGCAUUUCCAGAGAUUAUCCUUUGUAGACUGUACCUGGUUUAAAAUGUGAAACGAGACUUUGGAAAGAAGGUGAUGGAACAUUCUCCAAAACUCAAAACAUAAACGAGAUAUAAAUCCGAUUUUUUUAAUUUUUGGAGUUUUUUGUUUUUGUUGUUCAGUUACUGUUCAAAAAGCUUUCAAGACAAGAAUUCAACACACUAUUUCUUUAGCGUGUAUUUCAACACUUUAUUUCCAGGACCUCUUCCCUAGCAAGGGACAGUACCCCAUCAACUUCCUAGCCACCGAGCUUCAAAACCUUAUGAAGAAAGUGAAGCAAAACCCACCCCCAAACCUCACAUGAGGCACGACCAUCCCAGAACACGGAAGUAAUCCGUCUGCUUGUUCACAAAAUGGCUUCCUGCAAAAUGCAUGCUCAGACAUAAGCAUGCAAGACCAUUUUUUUUUUCCUGAUCUGAAUUGCAAGUCCAGCCCAAGAAACUUACACAUUUGCAUGAAAUACUCUUAACAAG
rnacentral:lncRNA from 1 species